rnacentral:rRNA from 1 species
UACGUAGGGUGCGAGCGUUGUCCGGAAUUACUGGGCGUAAAGAGCUCGUAGGUGGUUUGUCGCGUUGUUCGUGAAAACUCACAACUCAAUUGUGGGCGUGCGGGCGAUACGGGCAGACUGGAGUACUGCAGGGGAGACUGGAAUUCCUGGUGUAGCGGUGGAAUGCGCAGAUAUCAGGAGGAACACCGGUGGCGAAGGCGGGUCUCUGGGACGGUACUGACGCUGAGACGCGAAAGCUAGGGGAGCAAACGGG